UAAAAGGUUAGUUUGUAAUAUAUUAAUAUUAUAUCAAAAUACAUUAAUGAUGAAAACGUAACAGAGUUUGUAACGAUGUAAGCAAGUAAUUCAUGGAAUUAAAGACAUCUCAGUUUUUUUCUCCCCCCUCCAAUCCCUGCACCUGUGUUGGAGAUUCUGCAAGGCUGAUGAAUUGCCCAGAACAUUGCCAAGUUACAGCUCAAUUAUCGUGGGUUUCCUCAGCAGUUAUUUGUUGCCUACCUCUGAGUGUGAACUAACAUCUUUUCAGCUAUCAGGCAAAACCUCUGGAAUGUAAUAGCUUUACUCACCAUUGUUCACCAAACCCCAAGCUAAGAAUAUCAUCAGUAAAACCUAAAAUCUAUAACAGAGUUUCCCCCACUGCACUAUAACCUGCUGCUUACCAGGUGUUCCCACCAAUGCGCUGGGAAAACGCCUUGAUUUAUGGCUUUCUUUUGUUCUGUCAAUACAGAAGUUCACGUAACCGCUUUCACGUUGGUACACGUUGUUCUCAGGUCACGAGCAGUCACCUUUGGCUUUGGAUAAAUUAUAUAUCGUCCCCUUUGCUGUGAGCGCUGUGUUUUGCAUGGACGCUGAAUGAGAACAAACGAGCGCCAGGCGACCGCUUUUGGAGUAUGGUGGAGAUGUAAGCCCCCUCCAAGGAGAGACACACACCAGUAAGCUUCUACCUGUAGGAUUUGGAAUGCUAAUCUGAGAAUUCCAUGUGUGUUCUGAUGUGUCAUAGAUCCUCUAAGCUAAUAGGAUUUCAGUCGCACUUAUGACAGAUCUUCAAAACAGAAGACAGAGCUAUCAAAAGCAAAUCUAAAAAGACACUUGGGUGGAUGCUGAGUGGCUGCUGGGUACAGAUUCCCCACCUGCCUCUGGGACCACAUGGUUCAUGGGAAUUUUCUUCCUGGCCUUCUGAUUGGCUCAGAUGUGGGGGCCUGACUCCAGCUAAACCCACCGGUGUCUUUUCUGAAGAGUGUGUGAACAAUGACUAUCGAGGGGCCAGGUUUUUCUUUGGGGACAGAGUAAGAAGCAUUUGGGGUUGUGGGGGCCAUUUUUCUGCUUGCCUCCAGGAUGUAGACAAAAGCAAGUAGCUACUGAGUCCCUGGCUGCAGCUGCCUUUGAGACUGGUAGAACCAGCACCCUCUCUGAAUUCUGAAUCUUCAGUUCUUCCCAUGGUUUUACAGAAGCCUUUUGUUCUUCUUUCAUUGUUGUUUUGUUUUUUAUUUGUUGUUUUGUUUCGUCUGAACUAGUUAGAAUUUGAUUUCGGGCACAUGGACCAAGGACACAGUUAAGAAAAUCCAAGAAGAAAGCACAACCCUGGUUUUGAAAUACACGAAAUUACCAGCACUUCCUGACUCCACAGGUCAUAAUUGUCUGUGUGUGUCUGGCUUGGGGAGGACCUAGAGAAGAACACCAAAGAGACAAGUGGAGAUGACUGGCUAAGCUCUUCGGAUCAUCCUGUCUGUUGAGGAGGCGGAACUCAUCUUGGCUGGGGGAAGAAACAGACAAUACCAGGAUUGUUCAAGCUAAGGUUAUGACCAUAAAAAUUACAUUGCUUCUCUCGCUUACGAAUGUGAUGUACGGGAUAACACAUUUACAGGGUUGUGAAGGAUUUGUGUGCUUUUUUUCUAACUCAAUGAGCUAGAAAGCAAUCCUAGCACUAAUUGGGCAACUGAAGGUAUUUAUACUUUGCUAAAACCUCAGCAAAUUGAUAGAAAUAGUCUACAAAAGAAAUUAUUCUACA